rnacentral:tRNA from 2 species
GUGGACAUCGUCUAAAAAAGACCUUAGAUUGUGAUUCUAAAAAUAAGAGUUAAAAUCCCUUUGUCCACC